rnacentral:rRNA from 1 species
AGUGAACGCUGGCGGCAGGCCUAACACAUGCAAGUCGAACGGCAGCACAGUAAGAGCUUGCUCUUACGGGUGGCGAGUGGCGGACGGGUGAGGAAUACAUCGGAAUCUACUUUUUCGUGGGGGAUAACGUAGGGAAACUUACGCUAAUACCGCAUACGACCUACGGGUGAAAGCAGGGGAUCUUCGGACCUUGCGCGAUUGAAUGAGCCGAUGUCGGAUUAGCUAGUUGGCGGGGUAAAGGCCCACCAAGGCGACGAUCCGUAGCUGGUCUGAGAGGAUGAUCAGCCACACUGGAACUGAGACACGGUCCAGACUCCUACGGGAGGCAGCAGUGGGGAAUAUUGGACAAUGGGCGCAAGCCUGAUCCAGCUAUACCGCGUGGGUGAAGAAGGCCUUCGGGUUGUAAAGCCCUUUUGUUGGGAAAGAAAAGCAGCAGGUUAAUACCCCGCUGUUCUGACGGUACCCAAAGAAUAAGCACCGGCUAACUUCGUG